rnacentral:tRNA from 1 species
GCCUAGUUAGCUCAGCGGUAGAGCAACCGGCUGUUAACCGGUAGGUCAAAGGUUCGAAUCCUUUACUGGGCGCCA